rnacentral:rRNA from 1 species
UACGUAGGAGACGAGCGUUGUCCAGAGUUACUGGGCGUAAAGGGUGCGUAGGCGGUUUGGUAAGUCUGAUGUGAAAUCUAUGGGCUCAACUCAUAGUCUGCAUCGGAAACUGCCGGGCUUGAGUGUGGGAGAGGUGAGUGGAAUUCCCGGUGUAGUGGUGAAAUGCGUAGAGAUCGGGAGGAACACCCGUGGCGAAGGCGGCUCACUGGGCCGGUCCUGACGCUGAGACGCGAAGGCGUGGGGAGCGAACGGG